AUCAAGAGGCAGAAAAUUGGAUCACGAAAGCAUAAUUCAGAUGGAAUUGCUGAUGGUGCCUGUGCUUGCAGGCUGCAGGGUCCCAGUGCAAAAGGACCAGCUCAGGACCACCAGCUGUGCCACAGGAGUUCCUGAGGACAGGGCAGAGCAGCUCCCCCUCUCCAAAGUGCCUCUCUGAAGACACUUUAUGUUGCAGUCAUUAACUGCUGAUAACAAUAAAUGAAUUCUUUGAUCUUUCUA